rnacentral:rRNA from 1 species
AGUAACACGUGGGGAACCUGCCCCAUAGUCUGGGAUACCACUUGGAAACAGGUGCUAAUACCGGAUAAGAAAGCGGAUCGCAUAAUCAGCUUUUAAAAGGCGGCGUAAGCUGUCGCUAUGGGAUGGCCCCGCGGUGCAUUAGCUAGUUGGUAAGGUAAAGGCUUACCAAGGCGAUGAUGCAUAGCCGAGUUGAGAGACUGAUCGGCCACAUUGGGACUGAGACACGGCCCAAACUCCUACGGGAGGCAGCAGGU